rnacentral:rRNA from 1 species
UGCAAGUCGAGCGAACAGACCAGGAGCUUGCUCCUUUGACGUUAGCGGCGGACGGGUGAGUAACACGUGGGUAACCUACCUAUAAGACUGGGAUAACUUCGGGAAACCGGAGCUAAUACCGGAUAAUAUUUCGAACCGCAUGGUUCGAUAGUGAAAGAUGGCUUUGCUAUCACUUAUAGAUGGACCUGCGCCGUAUUAGCUAGUUGGUAAGGUAACGGCUUACCAAGGCAACGAUACGUAGCCGACCUGAGAGGGUGAUCGGCCACACUGGAACUGAGACACGGUCCAGACUCCUACGGGAGGCAGCAGUAGGGAAUCUUCCGCAAUGGGCGAAAGCCUGACGGAGCAACGCCGCGUGAGUGAUGAAGGUCUUCGGAUCGUAAAACUCUGUUAUUAGGGAAGAACAAACGUGUAAGUAACUGUGCACGUCUUGACGGUACCUAAUCAGAAAGCCACGGCUAACUACGUGCCAGCAGCCGCGGUAAUACGUAGGUGGCAAGCGUUAUCCGGAAUUAUUGGGCGUAAAGCGCGCGUAGGCGGUUUUUUAAGUCUGAUGUGAAAGCCCACGGCUCACCCGUGGAGGGUCAUUGGAAACUGGAAAACUUGAGUGCAGAAGAGGAAAGUGGAAUUCCAUGUGUAGCGGUGAAAUGCGCAGAGAUAUGGAGGAACACCAUUGCCAAAGGCAACUUUCUGGUCUGUAACUGACCCUUAUGUGCGAAAGCCUGGGGAUCAAACAGGAUUAAAUACCCCUGGUAUUCCACCCCCUUAAACAAUGAAUUGCUAAUUGUUUAGGGGGUUUU